rnacentral:misc_RNA from 1 species
CAAAAUUGCGUCAUCACGCUCACAAUAUAUUUGAUAAAAAGCCGACGGGAGUCCAAGCCCACGAGGAAGAAUCAAUGCCCCUCAGUUUGUUCAUUCCCCUACUGAUUUAUCAAACAAUGAAGUUGAGAUUUUAUUUUGCAGUUUCAGUUCAUCAAACAAUCAAACUUCCCCUUUUUUCUAUGUUUAUGUUUCCUAACGGUUACCAGAAUUUUCCACUCCAAUAAUAUCAUUCAUCUCUUCAGUCAGCUCUCGUAAAAUUACUUCUGAUAAAAUAGAAAAACAAACUCCACUUGUUAUAUGGCAGAUGUAAUAUAUGAUGCAUUUAGUGAAGAAACAUAUGCCGUCAUAUAUUAACUCAGAUCGUUGCCUUCAAUUAGCUAGUUGCUUGCAGCUGCAAUUGUAUGAUCUGUGUGUUGAGAUAAACUUUAAUAAGAAUCAAGUCUAUUAACCACCAAGACCAUAUUGCGUCAUCAAAGCCAGCACUGUAAAUCCUUCUAUCAUGUCAACUUCAUCUGCGCAAAAGCGGCUGCCAAAUCCAUAGCCUUCUCAACAUGUACUCCAUCUGUUCCCUGGCCUGUGGCAAGACCCCCCUUUCCUUUACCACACCUCCCAUUCAGCGGCUCCAAUGCAGCAGUUAACCACUCAGACACCUCCAGCUUUUUGCUGAUGUCCGACUUUUCUGGCACUCCCGCACACACCACAACCUUGUUUGUAGUUUCAUCCAAACUGAAAACCAUAAUUGAAAGCCCCUUCGCCAAGACUUUCAUAGCUGCCUCACGGACUGCAGCUGCAUCUAAACCAACAUUAACACGAGAAAUGCAGAAUUCAUUCCCUUCUGAAGCAGCAACUUCAGCCAUCUCUGUUGCAACCUUGACAGCCUUCUGCAUAUUUUCUUCAGCAAUCUUCUUUUGUGCUUUUCUUACUUGAUUCUGAAGUACAGAAAUCCUAGACCUAAUGUCAGCUUUCUUGGCUGCUGGAAUAGGUGCCGAGUCCACGCGACUUUUUAAAGAGGCUACUUUCUUUUCCAGCAAGCUUCCUUCUGUCUUGGAUGUCUCAUCAACCUCCUGCUCAAGUGAUGAUGCUAGUUCCAUAGCCUUAAAAGCACUAUCAGUUGUCACAGCAGUUAUUCUUCGAAUUCCUUUUGCAAUUCCCUCCUCUGAUAACAGAGCAAAUGCCUUUGCUUCCCUUGUAUUUGAAAUAUGUGUCCCUCCACAGAGUUCUGCUGAGAUUGACAGCCACUCAUUAUUUUCUGGAUCGGCUAGGAGGUCCUCAACUUUUCGACCAAUUGCCACAACUCUAACUGGGUCCGGAUAGACUUCUCCAAAAACAGCUCGUAAACCAUUGAUAUGCUUGGCUUCAGAAAGAGUUGCUUCCUUUGCAGAUACUUCUAAUUCUGCUUUGAUUUGCUCAUUCACAAUUGACUCAAUCUUUCUCAAAUGGUCAGGAUCCACUGGCUUGCCAUGAGAAAAAUCAAAUCUUAAUUUUUCAGGAAGAACAAUCGAUCCCUUCUGAUCAACAUGAUUGCCAAGCACUUCCCUGAGAGCAAAAUUCAACAUGUGUGUACAAGUAUGGUUUGGAGCAAUGAGUUUACGCCUAUCAUAGUCAACCUUACAGAUAACUUUAUCACCCACGCAGAAUUUGCUGCCUCCUUCAGUAAGAGAACCAAUAUGAAGAAUAAAUCCUCCAAAAAUUUGGACAUUGGAAACUUGGAAUGACCCAAAAGUGCCUUCAAUUGUUCCAGUAUCAAAAAUCUACAACCAGAAGAGUAAGACUCAUAAGAUACAAAAACGAUAGAAGAAAGAGGUCUGCUUGGGUUUAAACUUUAAAGAAAUAAAAGUGUACUGCAGCAUCAUCUUGGCAAGCAGUUAACAUGUUACUCUGCCUAUAAAUUCAACAAAUUUUUCCUGCACAACUUGAAACCCAUAUGCCCAUCAAUUAUAAUUUGACACAUCUCAUUGCAAGUAUGAAAACCAAUUCUAACGACAAUACCUGGCCACCUUGCUCAGCAUAGAAACUAGUGGAUUCCAAAACUAUACCAACUUCAUUGCCAGUGGUAGAACUUUCCAAGAACUUAGAACCGGUGUAGAUGGCUUUUAUUACACUUUCAUGGUCCUGGUACCAUAUAAAUUUAUAGGAAUCUUCUGUUACAGAAACACCCUUCUUGUGCAUCACAGAUGUAGCAUCAGCAUCCAUGACAAUAUUGCAACCAGCUUGCUGCCAAGAAUAUUGGCAAGGAAAGGCCACACACCAAAUAUCCAGUCAGUUUCUUACACGUACAAAAUUUUGCUCCUUUGGUAUCACCUUUUAGCCGAUUAAUUAUACUAAUUUUUUUCCUGGUCUUAUUGCAUUAGACUAAUAUGUUAGGAAAGGCAUUUGGCAAGCAACUCUAUCGAGUUAUAUUAACAACAAAUUCACAAAAGCAGAAGAGACAAAGCAAAGUCCAAAUACCUUAUUUUGGGCAUUCCUUGAUCUUUCCCUUGCCUCAUCCAUGGCAUUAUUGAAACCCUCAAUAUCAACUCGUAAUCCUCUUUCUUCUGCCAUCAACUGCGUCAAAUCUAAUGGGAAGCCAUAUGUGUCCCACAAGACAAAUGCAU